rnacentral:rRNA from 1 species
UAAUGUAUCGGAACGUGCCCAGUCGUGGGGGGUAACUGCUCGAAAGAGCAGCUAAUACCGCAUACGACCUGAGGGUGAAAGCGGGGGAUCGCAAGACCUCGCGCGAUUGGAGCGGCCGAUAUCAGAUUAGGUAGUUGGUGAGGUAAAGGCUCACCAAGCCGACGAUCUAUAGCUGGUCUGAGAGGACGACCAGCCACACUGGGACUGAGACACGGCCCAG